rnacentral:rRNA from 1 species
AGAGUUUGAUCAUGGCUCAGGGCGAACGCUGGCGGCGCGCCUAACACAUGCAAGUCGAACGAGAGAUGAGGAGCUUGCUCUUCAGAUCGAGUGGCGAACGGGUGAGUAACGCGUGAGGAACCUGCCUCAAAGAGGGGGACAACAGUUGGAAACGACUGCUAAUACCGCAUAAGCCCACGGCUCGGCAUCGAGCAGAGGGAAAAGGAGCAAUCCGCUUUGAGAUGGCCUCGCGUCCGAUUAGCUAGUUGGUGAGGUAACGGCCCACCAAGGCGACGAUCGGUAGCCGGACUGAGAGGUUGAACGGCCACAUUGGGACUGAGACACGGCCCAGACUCCUACGGGAGCA